GGAGAGGUGGCUGAGACUGGUCUAAAGCAAUUCACUGCUAAUGAAUUGACCUGGGCAACUGGGUCCCUGGGUUCGAAUCCCAGCCUCUCCGCCA
rnacentral:tRNA from 1 species